GAUCCUGGCUCAGGAUGAACGCUGGCGGCGUGCUUAACACAUGCAAGUCGAACGGGAAUUACUUUAUUGAAACUUCGGUCGAUUUAAUUUAAUUCUAGUGGCGGACGGGUGAGUAACGCGUGGGUAACCUGCCUUAUACAGGGGGAUAACAGUCAGAAAUGACUGCUAAUAUCGCGUAAGCGCACAGGACCGCAUGGUCUGGUGUGAAAAACUCCGGUGGUAUAAGAUGGACCCGCGUUGGAUUAGCUAGUUGGG
rnacentral:rRNA from 1 species